rnacentral:rRNA from 1 species
AUUGCCUCAGUAACGGCGAGUGAAGCGGCAAGAGCUCAAAUUUGAAAGCUGGCCCCCUCGGGGUCCGCAUUGUAAUUUGCAGAGGAUGCUUCGGGAGCGGCCCCCAUCUAAGUGCCCUGGAACGGGCCGUCAUAGAGGGUGAGAAUCCCGUCUGGGAUGGGGUGUCCGCGCCCGUGUGAAGCUCCUUCGACGAGUCGAGUUGUUUGGGAAUGCAGCUCUAAAUGGGUGAUAAAUUUCAUCUAAAGCUAAAUACUGGCCGGAGACCGAUAGCGCACAAGUAGAGUGAUCGAAAGAUGAAAAGCACUUUGAAAAGAGAGUUAAACAGCACGUGAAAUUGUUGAAAGGGAAGCGCUUGCGACCAGACUCGCUCGCGGGGUUCAGCCGGCAUUCGUGCCGGUGUACUUCCCCGCGAGCGGGCCAGCGUCGGUUUGGGCGGCCGGUCAAAGGCCCUCGGAAUGUAACGCCCCCCGGGGCGUCUUAUAGCCGAGGGUGCCAUGCGGCCAGCCCGGACCGAGGAACGCGCUUCGGCUCGGACGCUGGCAUAAUGGUCGUAAGCGACCCGUCUUGAAACACGGACCAAGGAGUCUAACAUCUACGCGAGUGUUCGGGUGUCAAACCCGUGCGCGCAGUGAAAGCGAACGGAGGUGGGAACCCCUCGGGGUGCACCAUCGACCGAUCCUGAUGUCUUCGGAUGGAUUUGAGUAAGAGCGUAGCUGUUGGGACCCGAAAGAUGGUGAACUAUGCCUGAAUAGGGCGAAGCCAGAGGAAACUCUGGUGGAGGCUCGCAGCGGUUCUGACGUGCAAAUCGAUCGUCAAAUUUGGGUAUAGGGGCGAAAGACUAAUCGAACCAUCUAGUAGCUGGUUCCUGCCGAAGUUUCCCUCAGGAUAGCAGUAACGCGAAUUCAGUUUUAUGA